rnacentral:rRNA from 1 species
AACGAACGCUGGCGGCAUGCCUAACACAUGCAAGUCGAACGAGGCCUUCGGGUCUAGUGGCGCACGGGUGCGUAACGCGUGGGAACCUGCCCUUAGGUUCGGAAUAACUCCCCGAAAGGGGUGCUAAUACCGGAUAAUGUCUUCGGACCAAAGAUUUAUCGCCUUUGGAUGGGCCCGCGUUGGAUUAGCUAGUUGGUAGGGUAAAAGCCUACCAAGGCGACGAUCCAUAGCUGGUCUGAGAGGAUGAUCAGCCACACUGGGACUGAGACACGGCCCAGACUCCUACGGGAGGCAGCAGUGGGGAAUAUUGGACAAUGGGCGAAAGCCUGAUCCAGCAAUGCCGCGUGAGUGAUGAAGGCCUUAGGGUUGUAAGGCUCUUUUACCCGGGAUGAUAAUGACAGUACCGGGAGAAUAAGCGCCGGCUAACUCCGUG